rnacentral:misc_RNA from 1 species
GAUGAAGAACGCAGCGAAAUGCGAUACUUGGUGUGAAUUGCAGAAUCCCGUGAACCAUCGAGUCUUUGAACGCAAGUUGCGCCCGAAGCCACUAGGCCGAGGGCACGCCUGCCUGGGCGUCACACGUCGUUCCCCCCCCAUCUACUCCUUCGGGAUUGCAGGGGGCGGAUGAUGGCCUCCCGUGCGCCUCGCCGCGCGGUUGGCAUAAAUACCAAGUCCUCGUCGACGCACGCCACGACAAUCGGUGGUUGCGAAACCUCGGUUGCCCGUCGUGUGCGUUCGUCGCGCAUCGAGGGCUCGAAAAAAUGCUCGGCUCCGGCUCGGCUUUCAACGCGACCCCAGGUCAGGCGGGGUUACCCGCUGAAUUUAAGCAUAUCAAUAAGCGGAGGA